UACGUAGGGCGCAAGCGUUGUCCGGAAUUAUUGGGCGUAAAGAGCUUGUAGGUGGCUUGUCGCGUCUGCCGUGAAAAUCCAGGGCUCAACCCUGGACGUGCGGUGGGUACGGGCUGGCUAGAGUGUGGUAGGGGAGACUGGAACUCCUGGUGUAGCGGUGAAAUGCGCAGAUAUCAGGAAGAACACCGAUGGCGAAGGCAGGUCUCUGGGCUGUAACUGACGCUGAGGAGCGAAAGCAUGGGGAGCGAACAGG
rnacentral:rRNA from 1 species